rnacentral:siRNA from 1 species
GGACAUGGACCGAUUGGGUGAUA